GCAUCACCUGGCAAAUCCAGCCACGCCCUCUGUCUGAUCCACAGCCAUCUCCUCACCCCCUUCUGAGCUCACUGCAUCGCCUCUCCUGGGUCUGAGGCUCUCACCACGGCUCUCCUGACCAGGCUCUGCAGUGUGAAUGGAGAAAGCCCAAGGAGGAACCAGCCAUCACCCAGAACCAAAUGAAAGGACACCAGAAACUAUGAACUCUCCUAUCAAUUUGCCGGCAAUCUCAGCAGAAUCAGCUGGAACCCUAAACUCUUUAAAGUCUGACGAAGAGGAGUGAGUUUGAGGGAAGGCUAUCCUUGCCACUAUUUUACAGAAGGUGAAACUGGACCAUGGAGGGUGAAGCAGUUUGCAAAAGGGGAAGGAGGUAGCAGAAGAUAACGCUUGGAUUUGUACACAGACUGGGCCCUGGAGACCAUUCACUGCGCUGAUCCAGGAGGCAGACGAUCCCUAGGAGUGCGUAUGGGCAACACUGACUACUUGGUGAGAGGAUAAAAAGAGGAGUGAUCUGCUAAACAAACCGCGCCCUCAUCAUGCAUUACUUUAUCUUUUU